rnacentral:rRNA from 1 species
CCUACGGGAGGCAGCAGUGAGGAAUAUUGGUCAAUGGACGAGAGUCUGAACCAGCCAAGUAGCGUGAAGGAUGACUGCCCUAUGGGUUGUAAACUUCUUUUAUAUGGGAAUAAAAUGUUCCACGUGUGGGAUUUUGUAUGUACCAUAUGAAUAAGGAUCGGCUAACUCCGUGCCAGCAGCCGCGGUAAUACGGAGGAUCCGAGCGUUAUCCGGAUUUAUUGGGUUUAAAGGGAGCGUAGGUGGAUUGUUAAGUCAGUUGUGAAAGUUUGCGGCUCAACCGUAAAAUUGCAGUUGAAACUGGCAGUCUUGAGUACAGUAGAGGUGGGCGGAAGUCGUGGUGUAGCGGUGAAAUGCUUAGAUAUCACGAAGAACGCCGAUUGCGAAGGCAGUUCACUGGACUGCAACUGACACUGAGGCUCGAAAGUGUGGGUAUCAAACAGGAUUAGAUACCCCAGUAGUC